rnacentral:rRNA from 1 species
GAUGAACGCUGGCGGCGUGCCUAAUACAUGCAAGUCGAGCGAAAAGACGAGGAGCUUGCUGCUCUGACGUUAGGCGCGGACGGGUGAGUAACACGUGUAUAACCUACCUAUCAUACUGGUAUAACCUCGGGAAACCGGCGAUAAUACCGGAUAAUAUGUUGAAGCGCGGGGUGCAACAGUGAAAGACGGUGUUGCUGUCACUUCUAGAUGGAUAUGCGCCGCAUUAGCGAGUUGGUAAGGUCACCGCUUACCAAGGCAACGAUGCGUAGCCGAGGUGAGAGGGGGAUCGGCCACAUGGGAACUGAGACACGGUCAAGGGUCCUAAGGGAGGCAGCAGUAGGGAAUCUGCCGCAGUAGGCGAAAGCCUGACGGAGCAGCGCCGCGUGAGUGAAGAAGGUCUUCGGAUCGUAAUACUCUCUUAUUAGGGAAGAACAAAUGUGUAAGUAACUAUGCACGUCUUGACGGUACCUGAUCAGAAAGCAACGGCUAACUACGUG